UGUGCUAGGUGGGGAGUUAGCGGUGCCCUGUACUUGCAAUCCGCUAUAGCAAGGCCGAACGUCCGUCCCGGCGAUUUGUAUGGACGGUCAGACGCAGGUAAGGAAUGUUGAUGGCAAGGUCUUAUGCAACGGACUGCCGUGAACCAUGUCAGGAUAGGGAUAUAGCAGCAUUAAGCGGAUUUGCUUCGUGUGCCAUAAGGUAGCUUUGCAGUAGUUACCUGCCCGCACCUCGCG
rnacentral:SRP_RNA from 1 species